rnacentral:rRNA from 1 species
UACGUAGGGUGCAAGCGUUAAUCGGAAUUACUGGGCGUAAAGCGUGCGCAGGCGGUUGUGCAAGACAGGUGUGAAAUCCCCGGGCUCAACCUGGGAACUGCAUUUGUGACUGCAUGGCUAGAGUACGGCAGAGGGGGAUGGAAUUCCGCGUGUAGCAGUGAAAUGCGUAGAUAUGCGGAGGAACACCGAUGGCGAAGGCAAUCCCCUGGGCCUGUACUGACGCUCAUGCACGAAAGCGUGGGGAGCAAACAGG